rnacentral:rRNA from 1 species
CACGUAGGGGACGAGCGUUGUCCGGAUUCAUUGGGCGUAAAGCGCGCGUAGGCGGCUCGGAAAGUCGGGCGUGAAAUGCCGGGGCUCAACCCCGGGACUGCGUCCGAUACUUCCGAGCUGGAGGUAGGUAGGGGAGGAUCAGAAUUCCUGGUGUAGCGGUGAAAUGCGCAGAUAAUCAGGAGGAACACCGGUGGCGAAGGCGGAUCUCUGGGCCUUACCUGACGCUGAGGCGCGAAAGCUAGGGGAGCGAACAGG